rnacentral:rRNA from 1 species
AUUGAACGCUGGCGGCAGGCCUUACACAUGCAAGUCGAACGAGCGGCGGACGGGUGAGUAAUAUAUCUGAAUCUGCCCGGUAGCUGGGGAUAACUACUGGAAACAGUGGCUAAUACCGCAUACUAUUGGCUCAGCCCAUAUCGGAUUAGCUAGUGGUUGGGGUAAAGGCUCACCAAGGCGACGAUCCCUAGCUGGUCUGAGAGGAUGACCAGCCACACUGGGACUGAGACCCGGCCCAGACUCCUACGGGAGGCAGCAGUGGGGAAUAUUGGACAAUGGGCGAAACCCUGAUCCAGCCAUGCCGCGUGUAUGAAGAAGGCCUUCGGGUUGUAAAGGACUUUUAGCAGGGAGGCGUUACCUGCAGAAUAAGCACCGGCUAACUACGUGCCAGCAGCCGCGGUAAUUC